AAGAAAACUCUCAAGAAAGAUGGU
rnacentral:siRNA from 1 species